rnacentral:rRNA from 1 species
UACGGAGGGAGCUAGCGUUGUUCGGAAUUACUGGGCGUAAAGCGCGCGUAGGCGGCUUUGUAAGUUAGAGGUGAAAGCCCGGGGCUCAACUCCGGAACUGCCUUUAAGACUGCAUCGCUUGAAUCCGGGAGAGGUGAGUGGAAUUCCGAGUGUAGAGGUGAAAUUCGUAGAUAUUCGGAAGAACACCAGUGGCGAAGGCGGCUCACUGGACCGGUAUUGACGCUGAGGUGCGAAAGCGUGGGGAGCAAACAAG